rnacentral:rRNA from 1 species
GACGAACGCUGGCGGCGUGCUUAACACAUGCAAGUCGAACGGAAAGGCCCUGCUUUUGUGUGGUGCUCGAGUGGCGAACGGGUGAGUAACACGUGAGUAACCUGCCCUUGACUUUGGGAUAACUUCAGGAAACUGGGGCUAAUACCGGAUAGGAGCUCCUGCUGCAUGGGGGGGGUUGGAAAGUUUCGGCGGUUGGGGAUGGACUCGCGGCUUAUCAGCUUGUUGGUGGGGUAGUGGCUUACCAAGGCUUUGACGGGUAGCCGGCCUGAGAGGGGGACCGGCCACAUUGGGACUGAGAUACGGCCCAGACUCCUACGGGAGGCAGCAGUGGGGAAUAUUGCACAAUGGGCGGAAGCCUGAUGCAGCAACGCCGCGUGCGGGAUGAUGGCCUUCGGGUUGUAAACCGCUUUCGCCUGUGACGAAGCGUGAGUGACGGUAAUGGGUAAAGAAGCACCGGCUAACUACGUG